rnacentral:rRNA from 1 species
AACGGCCAUACCAUGCUGAAUAUACCGGUUCUCGUUAGAUCACCGAAGUCAAGCAUCAUUGGGCGCGGUCAGUACUUGGGUGGGUGACCACCUGGGAACACCGGGC